UUGAACGCUGGCGGCAUGCCUUACACAUGCAAGUCGAACGGUAGAGUAGCAAUACUCGAGAGUGGCGAACGGGUGAGUAAUAUAUCGGAACGUGCCCAGUCGUGGGGGAUAACGCAGCGAAAGCUGUGCUAAUACCGCAUACGAUCUCUGGAUGAAAGCGGGGGACCUGCAAGGGCCUCGCGCGAUUGGAGCGGCCGAUAUCAGAUUAGCUAGUUGGUGGGGUAAAAGCUCACCAAGGCGACGAUCUGUAGCUGGUCUGAGAGGACGACCAGCCACACUGGAACUGAGACACGGUCCAGACUCCUACGGGAGGCAGCAGUGGGGAAUUUUGGACAAUGGGCGCAAGCCUGAUCCAGCAAUGCCGCGUGCAGGAUGAAGGCCUUCGGGUUGUAAACUGCUUUUGUACGGAACGAAACGGUUCUCUUUAAUAAAGAGGGCUAAUGACGGUACCGUAAGAAUAAGCACCGGCUAACUACGU
rnacentral:rRNA from 1 species